UUUGAACUGUUGGAUAUAUGAAACAGAGGGAUAUAACUUUGUUUCAGGAAUAAAAUAAUUUUGGUGAUUAUUUCAUGGACGUUUUUGGGGUUGAAGAAGAUGAAAAUUGUGUUGGAAAUUUUAAAAAAUAACAAGUUUUUAGUAAUACCCCCAUGCACGGUUUUGAUCAUAACUUUCAACUCGUGAAUCAUUUUGGGUUGGGGUUUGAAGCCUUAGAAAGCU
rnacentral:lncRNA from 1 species